rnacentral:lncRNA from 1 species
CCACUACCAACCCCAAAGUUCUCUCUCAUCUCAAAUAGCAACAUCAUCAAACAUACCUGUGUCCAAGCAAGAUAUAUUCCCUGGGUUUCUAUGUCUUGAAACCUAGAAUGCCCUUAAAUAGCUGCUCGCGACUACUAGCAACCAUCUUCUAAGACUUGGCUCUCAUUCUACCUUUUCAGCAAGCCCUUCCUGUGACCAUGUUCUUUGAGUGGGUUUUAAGCAUCCAGUCCUCGCCCAAGUCAUUCCAGAAAAUGAAGUCAACAUUAUCAUGGCAUACAAGAAAACAACUACUUGUCUGAGUACAGUGGAUGAAAUGUGCACUGUGAGCCGCUGCAUGCAUGGAUACCACGCAGGAGAAAACAGCAACUACCUGUGAAGUAGACCCAUGGCUUACUUCUGUAAAAUGUCCAUUAUGGGUGGUUUGAUCUGUUUGCGUUGCUAUAAUAAAC